UUUGAUAUUAACUAAAUUAUAUUUCUCUUUUCCAGAUUUUGACAAGAAAAAUAGAAAAUGGAUCGAAAUAUGAAUAUAUCGAUACAUGCGAUUUUCGAGAACGUGCAUCGAAUAAAAAUCGAAAAAGGUGCAUGAGAGUUUGAAAUUCGAACGGUUAGAUAAAUCUAACCUUAAUUCUGUAGUGGCACCCGCAUUUUCGAACCACGGUAAAUUAGAAUCCGGUAUAGAUCCCGGCUGGAGUCCAUGGCUCUCGACCUUGAAUGGUUCUCCGACACUUCCCGGGCUUCUUUCCAACCAGACUGCGCUAAUUACUGCACCCGUGGACGCGUUUAGUGCGAUCACCCUUGUCUCCACGGCGUCGUUCACUGACAUCAGUAACGACUUUGCUAGCACAUCUAAAAGCGCUACAAUAUUAAAUUUCAACAAAUUAUAAAUGUAUCAGCUAUCAACUAUUAUUAACGUAUUAUGUGGUAAUAUAUAAAGGUUUUUCAAAGAUGUUAAAGAUCUGAUUUUAAAAUCAGUCCACGCGCAGAGUCGCAAAAGCAUGAAGAUAUAAUCGAUGUACCUCGAUAGCAUGCAUAUUCUCGUUACCAUUUUAGCCGAUGAAAUUCGAUUAGGUGAUGAUAUACCAGGUCCCGGACAAAUUGGAUUGUUGACAAUGCGGUCUGUCAUCGUGCAUGGUUUAUUAGCCAAAUCGAUUUUAUCUUUCUCUUAUAGAUUGAAACGAUUUGGAAUUUGAUAGAAAAAAAGAAAAUAGAUCUUCUUUAGUUUGGAAUACUGGAAACACCAUUAUUCUUUCUCAUUUUUCUUGUUU